rnacentral:rRNA from 1 species
GAAUUGCCUCAGAAACUGUUUCGCUUGAGUCAGUGAGGGGAGGGCGGAAUCCUGGUGUAGCGGUGAAAUGCGUAGAUAUCAGGAGGAAGGCCGGUAGCGAAGGCGGCCCUCUGGCACUGAACUGACGCUGAGGCGCGAAAGCGUGGGUAGCAAACAGGAUUAGAUACCCUGGUAGUCCACGCCCUAAACGGUGGGCAUUAGGUGUAGGGCUCGUAAGGGUUCUGUGCCGAAGGGAAACCAUUAAAUGCCCCGCCUGGGGAAUACGGCCGCAAGGUUGAAACUCAAAGGAAUUGACGGGGGCCCGCACAAGCGGUGGAGCAUGUGGUUUAAUUCGACGCUACGCGAAGAACCUUACCUGGGUUUGACAUGUUAGUAGUAAAAACCUGAAAAGGGGCUGACCCUGAGGUAACUCAGGGAGCUAACACAGGUGCUGCAUGGCUGUCGUCAGCUCGUGCCGUGAGGUGUUGGGUUAAGUCCCGCAACGAGCGCAACCCUUAUCCUCUGUUGGUCGUAAACGAUCUCUCUGGGGAAACUGCCGGCGAUGAGCUGGAGGAAGGUGGGGAUGACGUCAAGUCAGCAUGGCCCUUAUGUCCAGGGCGACACACGUGCUACAAUGGCUGCUACAGAGGGAUGCAAUACCGUGAGGUGGAGCCAAUCCUUAAAAGCAGUCUCAGUGGGGAUCGGAGUCUGCAAUUCGACUCCGUGAACGCGGAAUCGCUAGUAAUCAUGGAUCAGCCAUGCCAUGGUGAAUACGUUCCCGGGCCUUGUACACACCGCCCGUCACACCACGAAAGCCUGUUGUACCCGAAGCUGGGGAGUUAACCCCUGAGCUUGUCG